rnacentral:rRNA from 1 species
CCUACGGGUGGCAGCAGUCGAGAAUCAUUCACAAUGGGGGAAACCCUGAUGGUGCGACGCCGCGUGGGGGAAUGAAGGUCUUCGGAUUGUAAACCCCUGUCAUGUGGGAGCAAAUUAAAAAGAUAGUACCACAAGAGGAAGAGACGGCUAACUCGGUGCCAGCAGCCGCGGUAAUACAGAGGUCUCAAGCGUUGUUCGGAAUUACUGGGAGUAAAGGGUGCGUAGGCUGUUUCGUAAGUCGUGUGUGAAAGGCGCGGGCUCAACCCGCGGACGGCACAUGAUACUGCGAGACUAGAGUAAUGGAGGGGGAACUGGAAUUCUCGGUGUAGCAGUGAAAUGCGUAGAUAUCGAGAGGAACACUCGUGGCGAAGGCGGGUUCCUGGACAUUAACUGACGCUGAGGCACGAAGGCCAGGGGAGCGAAAGGGAUUAGAUACCCGUGUAGUC